rnacentral:snRNA from 1 species
GCACAUAUACUAAAAUUGGAAUGAUACAGAGAAGAUAAGCAUAGACCCUGUGCAAGGAUAACAUGCAAACUUGUGAAGCAUUCCAUAUUUUU